AAAGGGGAUAGGAGGCUUUGAGGUGGAAGGUGAUAGCUGUAAUUUAAAUAAAGUGAUAAAACUCAGUGAGAAGGUUACAUUUGAGUAAAAACUUGAAGAAAAAGUAACAAGCCGUAAGGUCAUAUGGGGAAGAGCAUUCCAGCCCCCAAAACAGCAAGUGCAGAAGCUCUAGCUAGGGCCACCCUGAUGCCCAUUUUCAGGGUGUGCUAUUCUCAUGGUACCCUAUGUAGGUGGUGUCCACUGGGAUUGUGUUAUGAACAAUGUGCAUUGGAAAACAUGGCAGACCCGUCAUAAAGCAGGAACAGCAAGGAGGCCUGGAAGGGUAGGGGGAGGCCAGAGAGAAAAUGGAGGGCCAGGUAUUUUCAGGCUCUUUCAACUAGCUCUGCUGGAAAGCUAGCUUACUGUCCAGGGAAUUUUUAGACAGUCCCUUUGCCCAUGUCUGCUGAUACCACAUGCCCUAAAAGCAGGUAGGCUGUGUCUAGCCUUCUUGGGUUUGAUAGUUGAUAAGUGAGCUCCAUGAGGGAGAUGUACAACUGAUGUGUCUUUGCAUGGCGGUUUUUUCAAUUCUCUAGCUCCCUGAUGAAUGUGGGAAUAAAAAUUUAUAUCAGAAUCGACACUGGUUAUAAUGUGAAUUUAUGACAUUACUUGAGAAUAUUCAAUUCUGCUGUAGAGGACAAAAAAAAUGGAAUAAUGAAAUCCAUCAUAAACCCUGGGCAUAGUUGAUGAUAAAAGUGCUGGCCAGGCGUGGUGGCUCAUGCCUGUAAUCCCAGCACUUUGGGAGGCCGAGGCGGGUGGAUUACCUGAGAUCAGGAGUUCAAGACCAGCCUGGCUAACAUGGCGAAACCCCGUCUCUGCUAAAAAUACAAAAAUUAGCUGGGUGUAGUGGCAUGCACCUGUAAUCCGAGCUAUCCAGGAGACUGAGACAGGAGAAUCGCUUGAACCUGGAGGCAGUAAGCCAAGAUCGCACCAUUGCAUUCCAGCCUAGGCGACAGAGCAAGACUCUGUCUCAAAAAAAAAAAAAAAAAAAAGUGCUCUGACGUUAUAUUAUGGUGUUGGUCGCACAACUUUGUGAAUAUAUGAGAAGUCAUGGAAUUGUAUACUUUCAAUGAAUAAAUUAUAAGGCAUACAAGUUAUAUCUCAAUAAAGCUGUUUGCUAAAUUUGGACGUCACUUUUUUUUUAAACAGCUUUGUUGAGGUAUAACUCUGGUGUUAUACGUUUAGUAUUUGUUUGUUCACCUCUAUCAUAAGCUAUAUAAGCUAUAUGUCUCUUAGGACUGGGAUCAUUUUUAUCAAUUGUUACACCUCCACUUCCUUGUAUAGUACUUUUUGCCCGAAUGUUAAUUUAAAAAUGUUUGUUGAAUGAUACAUUUUAGGCUAAAUGAAUACAGUUUGCAUCAGCAUUAGGGUAGACAUGUCACAUGUAGUCCACUAACCCUCCCCAAGUCUUUUAUGUGAGUUGUUGUUAAGCCAGGGCAAUUCUAUCCUGUACUUGGGCAGAAAUUUCUUGAAAAAAAUCAAAGUUAAGAGUUUACAUUUAUUUUAAAAUUUUUAUCAUGUUAGAACCCAUCAGUCAUUUUAGCCAGUUAAGUGUUUUUUUUUUUUUUUUUUUUUUUUGAGAUGGAGUCUUGCUGUUUUGCCCAGGCUGGAGUGCAGUAGUGCGAUCUUGGCUCACUGCAACAUCUGCCUCCCAGGUUCAAGUGGUUCUCCUGCCUUAGCCUCCCCAGUAGCUGGGGUGACAGGUAUGCACCAUGUUGCCCAAGUUUUUGCAUUAUUUAGUAGAGAUGGGGUUUCACCACAUUGCCCAGGCUGGUCUUGAACUCUUGACGUCAAGUGAUCUGCCCGCCUCGGCCUCCAAAGGUGCUGGGAUUACAGGCAUGAGCCACUGCGCCCAGCCAAGAUUUUCUUGGAUUUUUUUCUCUGUCAUUAAGUGUAGUCUCUAUUUCUACCUGCUUUGUACUACAAACCAAUUUAAAUAAGCAUGCUGUCUUUCUCCAUAAAAACAUUAAACUGUAGAACAAUGUUUUUAUGGAGAAAAAGAGCUAAAGUCACAUGCUGGUGGAGCAUAAAACGCUCACUUGAAGAACACCUUGGUAAUGGCUCCAGCUAACUGUACCAUGACCUAAUCCUGUGGCUGGAACCUCUGGGGAGUCUUAUCCACCUCCCCAAAUCCAUUUGACAAGCUCAGGUCCAAUACCACUUCUUUCAUGGGCUAUUCUCUGAUCUUCUCAGAAUGUCUAUCUUCUAUUGAAUUUGCCACAAUAUUUUGUUUGUACUACUCUUGAGACAUCCCACACAACCUUGAAUUAUAAUUGCUCACAUGGGUGUCUCAGCAUUUAUUCUAGACCAUAAGAUACUUAAAAGGAGGAAUUGUGAUUUCUUUGACAGUUUUGUCUCUUAGAAUUUAAGGGUGAGGGUGCUUAAUAAGUAUUAGAAAUAACGGAUAAGUAAAAUAUUCAGUGCUAUUAAAAAUACUAUUAAAUCUCAACACCUCCAGGGGUUACAUAUCUGAAAAAAGAUAUCAUACAUAUCUAUAUAAAUUCUAAAAUAAAUUGAAAUAGUCCAUAUCAAAAACCCUGCUGGAGUAGGUAACUCUUCACAAUCGACUUCAAUUAUUCAUGAUAUAAUUUUUGCAGGCACAUCAAAAAUUGUAUGUUUAGAGGUUAGAGGAUGAAUCCUCUUACAGUUUUCAAACCAGUCUGUACUAGCUUGAAAUGUAAUGUUUCUUGCACUUGAAUUUUCCCUGCUUUGUGUCUGCCAGUCUUGGCCCAAUGCUUGGGUACUUUUUUUAUGUUAUUGUGGUGCUUACAGGUGUUUUUCCAGCUGUGUUUUUCUAUCCUGAGGUUACAUCGGAGUAUGACAUGAUCAAACCUCUUCUUUGCACCAUGUCACAGAACCACCUUAAUGGAAGAGUGGACAAUAACUAUUGUGGUUUUCUCCUAUUUCAGGUGAUGGAAUGGAACCAUGUGUGUACAAAAAGAUACAGGAAUGUACAUAUUCAGUUUGCAAUAUAAAAACAUACACUGUGAUUGGAGAGGGAUUACAACAUUCUAAUUGCAAUUUUUGUCAUUUAUUCAAUAAAUAUUUCCUGGCUGGGUAUGAUGGCUCAAAGUGCCUGUAAUCCCAGCACUUUGGGAGGCCAAAGCAGGCAAAUCACCUGAGGUCAGGAGUUUGAGACCAGCCUGGCCACCAUGGUGAAACCCCAUCUCUACUAAAAAUACACAAAUUAGCUGGGUGUGGUGGUGCAUGCCUGUAAUCUCAGCUACCUGGGAGGCUGAGGCAGGAGAAUUGCUUGAACUCGGGAGGCGGAGGUUGCAGUGAGCUGAGAUUGCACCACUGCACCCCAGCCUGGGCAACAGAGUGAGACUCUGUCUCAAAACAAACAAACAAACAAACAAACAAAUUCCUGAGUGCCUACCAUAUGCUGAUUAAACUGUUCUAGAUGUUGGAGAUGCAGCUAUGGACAAGACAAAUACAGUCUCUUCUCUCCAGGAAUUUACCUUCUAAUGGAGGAGAGAGACAAAAACAACUUUGUACAUAAACCUUUUCUGAUAGUCAUUAAGAAAAUAAAGCAACAUGGUGUCCAAAUUCUAGAUUGCUCAUUUUAAAGGCUAGGGUGCCUAAAACCACAAGGAACAUUUCAGAAUUAGUAACAUUCAUACUUCGUAGAGCUAUACUUAGGCUAAUAAAUGUUUGGUAUUGUUGCCUCCCCAACAGCCACCUCAGACCACCUCCUGACUCCAAGUUUCCCUGCUCAUCAAUCCAAAAUUUUGUUGAAUAUACUACUUCCCCACCCCCAAUGGAGCUUAAGGGUUAACCUGAACUCUCUAAACCAAUCAGGGCAUUCCUACUGUCUUUGAUCGUGAGUGUUGUAGGCAGAGACAUAUAACCCAAUCCUUGCUAAUGAGACUUGAGGUAGGACCCCAGCUUCCGGAGAGGUUGCCUGGCUCCUAAAAAGAGAAAGAUACCGGAAAAGAGAUGGACUCUUCUACCACUGGAAAUCAGAUGGUGUCCUGAGUGACAUAAGUGUACUUACAACAGCCAUUUUGCAACCAUAAAGAAGCCAGUGGGAAUACACAGGCUACGUGUCCUCGAAGGCACAGAAGAAAGAAGAGAGAAAACUAUAUUCUUGAUGACACAGUUGAGCUACAGAAUUGUCCAACCCCGGAGGUGCCCCACUUCGCGUUGUGGGAGAUAAUGCAUUUUCCUUGCUGUUUAAACCACUUUGAGCUGAGUUUUCUAUUACCAGCAGCCUAAAGCAUUUUGACAGAUAAAAGUAGAUACAAAUGCACAUAUAUAAUGAGCAUCCUGACUGAACGAUUAAAUGUGUAUGUAGGCAUGCAUUACCUCCCCACUCCAUUUAUGAUUGUCACAUUUAUUUUUACUUCAGGGAAAAGCAACUAUAGAAUUUAAAAAAUCAGGAUUGAAAACAAAUACCUGAAUUUCCUACAAUUAAAAAAUCAAUCCAUUAAGUAGUGGUAUUAUGCUAAAAUAAAAUGAAUGCUUAG
rnacentral:lncRNA from 1 species